UACGAAGGGUGCAAGCGUUACUCGGAAUUACUGGGCGUAAAGCGUGCGUAGGUGGUUUUUUAAGUCUGCUGUGAAAGCCCUGGGCUCAACCUGGGAAUGGCGGUGGAUACUGAAAAGCUAGAGUGCGGUAGAGGAGGGUGGAAUUCCCGGUGUAGCGGUGAAAUGCGUAGAGAUCGGGAGGAACAUCAGUGGCGAAGGCGGGUCUCUGGGCCGAUACUGACGCUGAGGAGCGAAAGCGUGGGGAGCGAACAGG
rnacentral:rRNA from 1 species